AGUUCUGUGGGAGUCAUCGGUAUCAACCAUACAUAAAUACAUAGAUAAAUAAAAAGUAUUAUUUCGUUAUCAGUUAGUGAAAACUCAUAUGAAAAGAGUGCAGUUCGUUCCAGAUUUAGUUAAUUUGUACAACAAAACUUCUCACCUUUAUCACGUCAAUGAUCAAAAGCAAAAAUGGACUCAGGCAGUUCGACGAAACGAGUAAAUCUACUAGAUUCGACAGGAAUAAAGCACAGAAAUAUAAAAAGUAUACCUUUCUAAUAUACCUUACUAUAGAAAAUUAUAGUACACCAGAGAAUGUUACAGAAUUAUCUAAUUAAAACAAUGUUAUCUUGUAUGAAACUUAACUAGCAAUAACUCUGUAUAAUAUAAAAAAUAUUUUCUAUUUUCUUAUUAUUUAUAAAGUGUUUUAGAUAAGAGUGGAAAUUUAAUUAUUUAUAUUUAUAGUAAUGA